rnacentral:misc_RNA from 1 species
GGGAUCAGUAACCGUAUCCCAUCUCUUAUUGCAGUCAUUCCUUUUACUUUAUUUUAUUUUUUCAGCUCUCAAUAAACAGCGGAGAGAGUAUCUUUGAGACUCCGUUUUCUUUCCUGCUUUUCUCUCUAGUAGUAAGACAUCUUUAAGACUCGAUUCUCACCGCUUGCCGUGACUUCGGCCUUCCCCUGCCCCACUGGGUAGGGGACGGCCUCCUCCCCCUACUCGGGAUGUGGGUUUCUUUCUCAGUACCCAUUUAUAUAGAGCUUUUGAUGUUUGUUGUGUUGCAAGAAGUGGGCAUCAUGGAGAGGAAGUUUGUUGAAUUUGCAUAGGUUGCAUUUCUUUUUGACUGGGGAUAUUUGUUUGUUUGUCUUUGGGAGGGUGUUCGUUUGCUGCAGUGGUAUCCCAGGAGUCUAAAAGCCGACCUUGUUCACUAAUGACUGACCUUCCAAGCUAAGAAAGCUGUGAGCCCUGCUUCAUCACCCUUGGUCUGGUUGGAUGAGAUUUCUUUCACUCAGAGCAUGCAUGUGUUGCCAAGUUCGGCUCGAUUUGAGGUAAGCGACUUUGAAGAGGAGGUCUUUUGUUCAAGUUUUAAUUGCUUCAUUCUGCUUCUGCUUUCAAUGGCAAUGAUGGCUGCCAUGGGGAGACGAGGCUUGGUGCAUGACGGCAUUCCUGGUUGCAUAUUUUUUGUGAUGGUCGGGUCUCUCUUUGUCGGGUUGAACCCAUUUUAACUUUAAGGUUUUUUAUUUGUUAGGUCUUGGACCUUGUAUUCUGCUGGAUUUGGGUAUUGAGUUCUUUUCUUUUCCCCUUGUAUUUGACCUAUGGGCUGUGUACUACUGAUUUCAGCCAAUGAACUUUCCAUCUUUGUUAAAAAAAC